UACGGAGGGAGCUAGCGUUAUUCGGAAUCACUGGGCGUAAAGCGCACGUAGGCGGCUUUUUAAGUCAGGGGUGAAAUCCUGGAGCUCAACUCCAGAACUGCCUUUGAUACUGAGAAGCUUGAGUCCGGGAGAGGUGAGUGGAACUGCGAGUGUAGAGGUGAAAUUCGUAGAUAUUCGCAAGAACACCAGUGGCGAAGGCGGCUCACUGGCCCGGUACUGACGCUGAGGUGCGAAAGCGUGGGGAGCAAACAGG
rnacentral:rRNA from 1 species